rnacentral:rRNA from 1 species
UCGAUGAAGAACGCAGCGAAAUGCGAUAAGUAAUGUGAAUUGCAGAAUUCAGUGAAUCAUCGAAUCUUUGAACGCACAUUGCACCUUCUGGUAUUCCAGGAGGUAUGUCUGUUCGAGCGUCAUUACAACCCUCAAGCUCUAGCUUGGUAUUGGAUGUCACUAAUCUGGUGCAUCUCAAAAGCAGUGGCGGUGCCAUUCAGCUUCAAGCGCAGUAAAUCUCUCGCUGUGGAGUCUGGGUGCAGUGCCUGCCAGAACCCCUAAAUUCAAAGGUUGACCUCGGAUCAGAUAGGGAUACCCGCUGAACUUAA